rnacentral:rRNA from 1 species
GACGAACGCUGGCGGCGUGCUUAACACAUGCAAGUCGAACGGUAAGGCUCCAACUUGCUGGGGUUCACGAGUGGCGAACGGGUGAGUAUCACGCGGGUGACCUGCCCUUCACUUCGGGAUAAGCCUGGGAAACUGGGGCUAAUACCGGAUAGGAUCAUGUGAUGGAUACUGUGGUGGAGAGAUUGUGCGGCGUGGGAUGGGCUCUCGGCCUAUCCGCUUGUUGGUGGGUUAUUGGCCUACGAACGCGGCGACGGGUAGCCGGCCUGAGAGGGUGGACGGCCACCUUGGGACUGAGAGACGGCGCAGUAGCCUACGGUAGGCAGAAGUCGGGAGUAUUGCGGAAUGGGGGGAAGUGUGAGGUGGCGGCGCUGCGUGGGGGAUAACGGCCUUCUGGUUGUAAACACCUGUGUCCGUAGAUGAAGAGUUUCUGACGGUAGAUGGAGAAGAAGCACCGGCUAACUACGUG